rnacentral:lncRNA from 1 species
UUUCCUGAGAGCUCCACCCAGGGCUGGGCUGGGGAUGGCUGGGCCUGGGGCUGGCAUGGGCUGUGGCUGCAGACCACUGCCAGCUUGGGCCUCGAGGCCAGGAGCUCACCCUCCAGCUGGGGACCUGGCCACUGGGGCAGCCCUGUUCCUGAAGCUCUGAGCUCACCCCUUCCCCAUGACCACAUCAGCCCCCCUCCACCCAGAGAUGUCACAGCCCCCAGCUAGCCCCGCCUCCAGAGUGGGGGCCAAGGCUGGGCAGGCGGGUGGACGGCCGGACACUGGCCCCGGAAGAGGAGGGAGGCGGUGGCUGGGAUCGGCAGCAGCCGUCCAUGGGAACACCCAGCCGGCCCCACUCGCACGGGUAGAGACAGGGGCGCCCUGCUGGAGCUGAGCCUCAGCUUUGUCCCUCUCCUCCUCCACGUCAACCUGGCCAGAGGGUCUGGACGCCACAGCCAGGGCACCCCCUGCUUUGGUGGUGACUGCUAAUAUUGGCCAGGCCGGCGGAUCAUCGUCCAGGCAGUUUCGGCAGAGAGCCUUGGGCACCAGUGACUCCCCGGUCCUCUUUAUCCACUGUCCAGGAGCUGCGGGGACUGCGCAGGGACUAGAGUACAGGGGCCGAAGAGUCACCACCGAGCUUGUGUGGGAGGAGGUGGAUUCCAGCCCCCAGCCCCAGGGCUCUGAAUCGCUGCCAGCUCAGCCCCCUGCCCAGCCUGCCCCACAGCCUGAGCCCCAGCAGGCCAGAGAGCCCAGUCCUGAGGUGAGCUGCUGUGGCCUGUGGCCCAGGCGACCCCAGCGCUCCCAGAACUGAGGCUGGCAGCCAGCCCCAGCCUCAGCCCCAACUGCGAGGCAGAGAGGGCCUGCAGGGAGGGAUCCAGCAGGUGACUCUUCAGGCUGAUUUGCCCAUCCCAGAUAGAAGCCGGGAGUGUUCUUUCAAAGGUGUCUUUACCUUAGACACUCAAUAAAAUGGUAACACAGUG